rnacentral:tRNA from 1 species
GGAGAGAUGGCUCAGUGGUUAAGAGCAGUGACUGCUCAUCCCGAAGGCCUGGGUUCAAUUCCCAGUAUCCACA